rnacentral:rRNA from 1 species
GAUGAACGCUGGCGGCGUGCCUAACACAUGCAAGUCGAACGAAGCACCUUACCUGAUUCUUCGGAUGAAAGUUUGGUGACUGAGUGGCGGACGGGUGAGUAACGCGUGGGUAACCUGCCCUGUACAGGGGGAUAACAGCUGGAAACGGCUGCUAAUACCGCAUAAGCGCACGAGGAGACAUCUCCUUGUGUGAAAAACUCCGGUGGUACAGGAUGGGCCCGCGUCUGAUUAGCUGGUUGGCAGGGUAACGGCCUACCAAGGCAACGAUCAGUAGCCGGUAUGAGAGGAUGAACGGCCACAUUGGAACUGAGACACGGUCCAAACUCCUACGGGAGGCAGCAGUGGGGAAUAUUGCACAAUGGGGGAAACCCUGAUGCAGCAACGCCGCGUGAGUGAAGAAGUAUUUCGGUAUGUAAAGCUCUAUAAGCAGGGAAGAUAAUGACGGUACCUGACUAAGAAGCUCCGGCUAAAUACGUG